AAAUUGAAGAGUUUGAUCAUGGCUCAGAUUGAACGCUGGCGGCAGGCCUAACACAUGCAAGUCGAGCGGUAGCACAGAGAGCUUGCUCUCGGGUGACGAGCGGCGGACGGGUGAGUAAUGUCUGGGAAACUGCCUGAUGGAGGGGGAUAACUACUGGAAACGGUAGCUAAUACCGCAUAAUGUCGCAAGACCAAAGUGGGGGACCUUCGGGCCUCAUGCCAUCAGAUGUGCCCAGAUGGGAUUAGCUGGUAGGUGGGGUAACGGCUCACCUAGGCGACGAUCCCUAGCUGGUCUGAGAGGAUGACCAGCCACACUGGAACUGAGACACGGUCCAGACUCCUACGGGAGGCAGCAGUGGGGAAUAUUGCACAAUGGGCGCAAGCCUGAUGCAGCCAUGCCGCGUGUGUGAAGAAGGCCUUCGGGUUGUAAAGCACUUUCAGCGGGGAGGAAGGCGAUAAGGUUAAUAACCUU
rnacentral:rRNA from 1 species